rnacentral:misc_RNA from 1 species
GUUUAUCAAUAUUUCAAAGAUACUGCCAUCCAGAUGCCAAAAUCUGCAGAACUCAUCAUCAACACUUUUGAAUUCCUGGAGCUAAGGCUCUCAAAGCAAUACUAGAUAAUCAAUGCACACAAGGCGAGCCCUUGCCUCCUGUAUAGUGCCUAGGGCCACUGACACGGAGCAACAACGGAAGUGAAGGUGUUGAAGAUAAACAAUUUUGCCUUAGUUGGCUGGACCUGCAACCAAGUCGAAAUGUCGUGUUUUUGAGUUUUGGUAGCAUGGGAAAAUUCUGCGCCAAGCAGUUGAAAGAAAUGGCCAGUGGGUUGGAAACAAACGGUGCUCGAUUAUUAUGGGUGGUGCGGCCACCACAAACGCCACCGAAUGGCCAGACCCAGCGCUCCCUACAAACAGGUGAGCCAAGUUUGGAUUCAUUCCUGCCGGAAGGGUUCUUGGAGAGGACCAAAGAUAGGGGGAUCGUUGUAAAGUCAUGGGCACCACAGGUUGAAUUACUGAGUCAUGACUCAUUAGGCGGGUUUGUAACUCAUUGCGGGUGGAAUUCGAUCCUAGAGGCCAUUUGUGCUGGAGUGCCCGUGCUGGCUUGGCCACUGUAUGCCGAACAAAAACUGAAUAGAGCUUUUCUGGUUAAAGAAAUGGUCGCUCUGCCCUUGGCCGAGUCGAGAGAAGGACAUGUCAGUUCAGCCGAGUUGAAGGAGUGAGUGACUGAGUUGAUGUUCUGCGAGGAACGGAAGAAGACUAGAGAGAGGGUGAUGAAGAUGACAGAUAAUGCAAGGGCCGCAAUCAAAAGAGGGUGGGCCUUCUCUCGCUGCCUUGGUGUAGUUGGCUCACUCCAUUUAAGCGUGC